CCUACGGGAGGCAGCAGUAGGGAAUCUUCCACAAUGGACGAAAGUCUGAUGGAGCAACGCCGCGUGAGUGAAGAAGGGUUUCGGCUCGUAAAACUCUGUUGUUAAAGAAGAACAUAUCUGAGAGUAACUGUUCAGGUAUUGACGGUAUUUAACCAGAAAGCCACGGCUAACUACGUGCCAGCAGCCGCGGUAAUACGUAGGUGGCAAGCGUUGUCCGGAUUUAUUGGGCGUAAAGCGAGCGCAGGCGGUUUUUUAAGUCUGAUGUGAAAGCCUUCGGCUCAACCGAAGAAGUGCAUCGGAAACUGGGAAACUUGAGUGCAGAAGAGGACAGUGGAACUCCAUGUGUAGCGGUGAAAUGCGUAGAUAUAUGGAAGAACACCAGUGGCGAAGGCGGCUGUCUGGUCUGUAACUGACGCUGAGGCUCGAAAGUAUGGGUAGCAAACAGGAUUAGAUACCCUGGUAGUCCAUACCGUAAACGAUGAAUGCUAAGUGUUGGAGGGUUUCCGCCCUUCAGUGCUGCAGCUAACGCAUUAAGCAUCCGCCUGGGGAG
rnacentral:rRNA from 1 species